AUAGAUUUUAUUAUUAUUUUUGAAUGUUUAAAAAAUUUAAUUAAAAUAAUAAGGUUUUUAUUAAUUGAAAAGAAAAAUUCAUAUUAAUUAUAGAUUAUUAGUACUGUGAAGGAAUUAUAUUUAUAUAAUAAAAAGAAAAAAAAAUUUUGUACCUUGUGUAUCAGGGUUUAUUAAAAAAUAUAUAUAUAUAUAUAUAUAUAUAUAUAUAUCUCGAAUUUAAAAGGGCUAAACUAAUAUUUAUAUUAUUGUAUUAUAAAUAUUUAUAAUAUUAAUUUAGUAAUGAAAUGUUAUUCGUUUUUAAAUAUAUCUAGUUUUUCAAGAAAAAAAUUUAAUUUUAAAGUUAAAUUUUAAGUUAUUUUUUUUUAAUAAUUUAAAUUUAAUAUUAAAUAAAUUAAGGGAUAAGCUUUAAUUUAAAUUUUUAUAAUUAAUUAAAAAUUAAUAAUUUAUAGAAUUGAAAAUUUUUUUUAUUUAAAGUUUGUAAAAAUUUGUUAUUUAUAAAUUUAAUAUUUUUAUUUAAUUUAAUUUUUUUAUUAAAAUAAAUAAUAUAAUAUUAGAAUUGUUUUAAUGAUGAUAAAAUUAGUAUUAUAUAUAUAUAUAUAUAUAUAUAUAUAUAUAGAAAGGUAAAAUAAAAGAAUUCGGCAAAUAUAUUUUUCACCUGUUUAUUAAAAACAUCUCUUUUUGAUUUUAAUUUAAAGUAGGGCCUGCCCACUGAAUUUUUAAAGGGCCGCAGUAUUUUGACUGUGCAAAGGUAGCAUAAUCAUUAGUUUUUUAAUUGAAAGCUUGUAUGAAUGGUUUGAUGAGAAAAUAGCUUUUUUUAUUUUAAUUUUUAAGAAUUUUAUUUUUAAGUUAAAAAGCUUAAAUUUUUAUAAUAGACGAGAAGACCCUAUAGAGUUUAAUUAUUAAUUAUUUUUAUAUUUUUAGAAUUUUAAUUUAUAAAUUUAAUUUAAUAAUUUAAUUGGGGUGAUUGAAAAAUUAAAUUAACUUUUUCUUUAUUUUUACAUUGAUGUAUGAUUUUAUGAUCCAUAAAAAUGAUUAAAAGAUUAAAUUACCUUAGGGAUAACAGCGUUAUUUUUUUUUAGAGUUCAAAUCGAAAAAAGAGAUUGCGACCUCGAUGUUGGAUUAAAGUUUAUAUUAGGAGGAGAAUUUUAAUUAUUUGGUCUGUUCGACCAUUAAAACUUUACAUGAUCUGAGUUUAAACCGGUGUGAGCCAGGUUGGUUUCUAUCUUUAUAUAAUUACUAAUUUUUAGUACGAAAGGACCAAGAUUAGGAUUAUUAAUUUUUUAAAUGAAUAAGAUU
rnacentral:rRNA from 1 species